GACAGAGGGUGCAAACGUUGUUCGGAAUUACUGGGCGUAAAGCGUGUGUAGGCGGUCCGCUAAGUCGGGUGUGAAAUCCCAGGGCUCAACCCUGGAACUGCCUUUGAUACUGACGAUCUGGAGAUCGGGAGAGGUUGGUGGAAUUCCGAGUGUAGAGGUGAAAUUCGUAGAUAUUCGGAGGAACACCAGAAGCGAAGGCGGCCAACUGGCCCGAUACUGACGCUGAGGCGCGAAAGCGUGGGGAGCAAACAGG
rnacentral:rRNA from 1 species